rnacentral:rRNA from 1 species
UUAAGCGACUAAGCGUACACGGUGGAUGCCUAGGCAGUCAGAGGCGAUGAAGGGCGUGCUAAUCUGCGAAAAGCGUCGGCAAGGUGAUAUGAACCGUUAUACCCGACGAUACCCGAAUGGGGAAACCCAGUGUGAUUCGUCACACUAUCAUUAACUGAAUCCAUAGGUUAAUGAGGCGAACCGGGGGAACUGAAACAUCUCAGUACCCCGAGGAAAAGAAAUCAACCGAGAUUCCCCCAGUAGCGGCGAGCGAACGGGGAGGAGCCCAGAACCUGAAUCGGCUUGUGUGUCAGUGGAAGUGUCUGGAAAGGCGCACGAUACAGGGUGACAGUCCCGUACACGAAGAUGCACAGGUCGUGAGUUCGAUGAGUAGGGCGGGACACGUGGUAUCCUGUCUGAACAUGGGGGGACCAUCCUCCAAGGCUAAAUACUCCUGACUGACCGAUAGUGAACCAGUACCGUGAGGGAAAGGCGAAAAGAACCCCGGCGAGGGGAGUGAAAUAGAACCUGAAACCGUGUACGUACAAGCAGUGGGAGCACCUUUUAGGUGUGACUGCGUACCUUUUGUAUAAUGGGUCAGCGACUUAUAUUCUGUAGCAAGGUUAACCGAAUAGGGGAGCCGCAGGGAAACCGAGUCUUAACUGGGCGUCUAGUUGCAGGGUAUAGACCCGAAACCCGGUGAUCUAGCCAUGGGCAGGUUGAAGGUUGGGUAACACUAACUGGAGGACCGAACCGACUAAUGUUGAAAAAUUAGCGGAUGACUUGUGGCUGGGGGUGAAAGGCCAAUCAAACCGGGAGAUAGCUGGUUCUCCCCGAAAGCUAUUUAGGUAGCGCCUCGUGAAUUCAUCUUCGGGGGUAGAGCACUGUUUCGGCUAGGGGGCCAUCCCGGCUUACCAACCCGAUGCAAACUGCGAAUACCGAAGAAUGUUAUCACGGGAGACACACGGCGGGUGCUAACGUCCGUCGUGAAGAGGGAAACAACCCAGACCGCCAGCUAAGGUCCCAAAGUCAUGGUUAAGUGGGAAACGAUGUGGGAAGGCCCAGACAGCCAGGAUGUUGGCUUAGAAGCAGCCAUCAUUUAAAGAAAGCGUAAUAGCUCACUGGUCGAGUCGGCCUGCGCGGAAGAUGUAACGGGGCUAAAACCAUGCACCGAAGCUGCGGCAGCGACACUAUGUGUUGUUGGGUAGGGGAGCGUUCUGUAAGCCUGUGAAGGUGGCCUGUGAGGGCUGCUGGAGGUAUCAGAAGUGCGAAUGCUGACAUAAGUAACGAUAAUGCGGGUGAAAAACCCGCACGCCGGAAGACCAAGGGUUCCUGUCCAACGUUAAUCGGGGCAGGGUGAGUCGACCCCUAAGGCGAGGCUGAAAAGCGUAGUCGAUGGGAAACAGGUUAAUAUUCCUGUACUUGGUGUUACUGCGAAGGGGGGACGGAGAAGGCUAUGUCAUCCGGGCGACGGUUGUCCCGGUUUAAGCGUGCAGGUGGGUGGACCAGGUAAAUCCGGUCUGCUGUUAACACUGAGGCGUGAUGACGAGGCACUACGGUGCUGAAGUGACAGAUGCCCGGCUUCCAGGAAAAGCCUCUAAGCAUCAGGUAACAUUGAAUCGUACCCCAAACCGACACAGGUGGUCAGGUAGAGAAUACUCAGGCGCUUGAGAGAACUCGGGUGAAGGAACUAGGCAAAAUGGUGCCGUAACUUCGGGAGAAGGCACGCUCCUGUUGGUGAAGUCCCUUGCGGAUGGAGCUGAGGGGAGUCGCAGAUACCAGCUGGCUGCAACUGUUUAAUAAAAACACAGCACUGUGCAAACACGAAAGUGGACGUAUACGGUGUGACGCCUGCCCGGUGCCGGAAGGUUAAUUGAUGGGGUUAUCCGUAAGGAGAAGCUCUUGAUCGAAGCCCCGGUAAACGGCGGCCGUAACUAUAACGGUCCUAAGGUAGCGAAAUUCCUUGUCGGGUAAGUUCCGACCUGCACGAAUGGCGUAAUGAUGGCCAGGCUGUCUCCACCCGAGACUCAGUGAAAUUGAACUCGCUGUGAAGAUGCAGUGUACCCGCGGCAAGACGGAAAGACCCCGUGAACCUUUACUAUAGCUUGACACUGAACCUUGAGCCUUGAUGUGUAGGAUAGGUGGGAGGCUUUGAAGUGUGGACGCCAGUCUGCAUGGAGCCAACCUUGAAAUACCACCCUUUAAUGUUUGAUGUUCUAACCUGGGCCCGUAAUCCGGGCUGGGGACAGUGUCUGGUGGGUAGUUUGACUGGGGCGGUCUCCUCCCAAAGAGUAACGGAGGAGCACGAAGGUUAGCUAAUCCUGGUCGGACAUCAGGAGGUUAGUGCAAAGGCAUAAGCUAGCUUGACUGCGAGAGUGACGGCUCGAGCAGGUGCGAAAGCAGGUCUUAGUGAUCCGGUGGUUCUGAAUGGAAGGGCCAUCGCUCAACGGAUAAAAGGUACUCCGGGGAUAACAGGCUGAUACCGCCCAAGAGUUCAUAUCGACGGCGGUGUUUGGCACCUCGAUGUCGGCUCAUCACAUCCUGGGGCUGAAGUAGGUCCCAAGGGUAUGGCUGUUCGCCAUUUAAAGUGGUACGCGAGCUGGGUUUAGAACGUCGUGAGACAGUUCGGUCCCUAUCUGCCGUGGGCGUUGGAAGAUUGAGGGGGGUUGCUCCUAGUACGAGAGGACCGGAGUGAACGCACCGCUGGUGUUCGGGUUGUCAUGCCAAUGGCACUGCCCGGUAGCUACGUGCGGAAGAGAUAACCGCUGAAAGCAUCUAAGCGGGAAACUUGCCCCGAGAUGAGUCUUCCCUGGGCCCUUGAGGCCCCUGAAGGGACGUUCGAGACGAGGACGUUGAUAGGCUGGGUGUGUAAGCGUAGCGAUACGUUGAGCUAACCAGUACUAAUGACCCGAGAGGCUUAACCUU